GAUGAAGAACGCAGCGAAAUGCGAUAAGUAAUGUGAAUUGCAGAAUUCAGUGAAUCAUCGAAUCUUUGAACGCACAUUGCGCCCGUCAGUAUUCUGGCGGGCAUGCCUGUUCGAGCGUCAUUACAACCCUCAGGCCCCCGGGCCUGGCGUUGGGGAUCGGCGGAAGCCCCCUGUGGGCACACGCCGUCCCUCAAAUACAGUGGCGGUCCCGCCGCAGCUUCCAUUGCGUAGUAGCUAACACCUCGCAACUGGAGAGCGGCGCGGCCAUGCCGUAAAACACCCAACUUCUGAAUGUUGACCUCGAAUCAGGUAGGAAUACCCGCUGAACUUAAGCAUAUCAAAAGCGGAGGA
rnacentral:misc_RNA from 1 species